rnacentral:rRNA from 1 species
CGGGGUGCAGCAGGCGCGAAAACUUUACAAUGCUGGAAACAGCGAUAAGGGGACCUCGAGUGCCAGGUUACAAAUCUGGCUGUCGUGAUGCCUAAAAAGCAUUGCAUAGCAAGGGCCGGGCAAGACCGGUGCCAGCCGCCGCGGUAACACCGGCGGCUCGAGUGGUAACCGUUAUUAUUGGGUCUAAAGGGUCUGUAGCCGGCCGGAUAAGUCUCUUGGGAAAUCUGGCAGCUUAACUGUCAGGCUUUCAGGGGAUACUGUCUGGCUCGAGGCCGGGAGAGGUGAGAGGUACUUCAGGGGUAGGGGUGAAAUCUUGUAAUCCUUGAAGGACCACCAGUGGCGAAGGCGUCUCACCAGAACGGACCUGACGGCAAGGGACGAAAGCUAGGGGCACGAACCGGAUUAGAUACCCGGGUAGUCCUAGCCGUAAACGAUACUCGCUAGGUGUCGGCCACGGUGCGACCGUUGUCGGUGCCGUAGGGAAGCCGUGAAGCGAGCCACCUGGGAAGUACGGCCGCAAGGCUGAAACUUAAAGGAAUUGGCGGGGGAGCAC